CACAGGAAGUCCCGCCCACCAUCCCCAUCCCAGCCCUGCUCAUGGCUUCCUACAAUUUGCCUGCUUACUCCCAUUUUUUUUGUCAUUGUAAGGAGAAACUCCUCUUCCUGUAUCCUUUCUUGUUCUCUGCCUGGAAAGUUUACGGCGCUGAAACCGUUUCCUAGGAAACAGGCAGAUUUCUCCCGCACGGUGACGUACAAUUUGAGCGCCGGUGCAGCAAGGUCCCCGCCCUUCCUUUUGCUUCCGGUUGUCACCCCCUGAGCGCGGCGGCGUCCCGGGAGAGGCACGUGUCAUGCCCAAUGGAGUUGGUGGCUGGUAGCUACGAGCAGGUCCUUUUUGGGUUCACUGUACACCCGGGCCCCAAGGCGAAUGGCGACCACGAGAAAUGGACUUCAGUGGCCGAUUUCACUCACCAUGCCCACACUGCCUCCUUGUCAGCAGUAGCUGUGAACAGUCGUUUUGUAGUCACUGGGAGCAAAGAUGAAACAAUUCACAUAUAUGACAUGAAAAAGAAGGUAGAACAUGGGGCUCUAGUACAUCACAAUGGCACAAUAACUUGCCUGAAGUUCUACGGCAACAGGCACUUAAUCAGUGGGGCCGAAGAUGGACUCAUCUGUGUCUGGGAUGCAAAGAAGUGGGAAUGCUUAAAGUCAAUUAAAGCUCACAAAGGACAUGUGACCUUCCUUUCCAUUCACCCAUCUGGCAAGUUGGCCCUGUCUGUAGGCACAGAUAAGACAUUAAGAACGUGGAAUCUUGUGGAGGGAAGAUCAGCUUUCAUAAAAAAUAUAAAACAAAAUGCUCACAUAGUGGAAUGGUCCCCGAGUGGGGAGAAAUACGUAGUUGUCAUCCUGAAUAAGGUUGAUGUCUACCAGCUUCACACUGCGUCCAUUAGUGGCACCAUCACCAAUGAGAAGCGGGUUUCUUCUGUUACCUUUCUUUCAGACUCUGUCCUUGCAGUGGCUGGAGACGAAGAAGUGGUGAGGUUUUUCGACUGUGAGUCAUUGGCGUGCCUCUGUGAAUUUAGAGCCCAUGAAAACAGGGUAAAAGACAUGUUCAGUUUUGAAAUUCCAGAGCAUCGUGUUCUUGUUACAGCGUCAAGUGAUGGUUUCAUCAAGAUGUGGAAGCUUAAGCAGGAGAAGACUGUCCCGCCAUCUUUGCUGUGUGGAGUAAACACUCACGCCAGGCUGACGUGUCUAGGAGUGUGGUUGGAUAGUGGGACAGACGCAAAGGAGAGCCUUCCUCCGCGGGCAGAGCCUUCUCCUGUAAGUAAAGAACAGGACCAGAGCAGCAAAAAGGAGUCUGGUGCCAUGGUGCAGGCAGAAGCAGCAUCAAGACCUGACCCACAGAUAGGUGGCUUAACUGGUGACAGGGAGAAGCCAGCCACACGGCGCGGCCCAGUGUCAAGAAAGAAGAGGAAAACGGGGGAGAUGUUGGAGGAGAAGAAGAGAAGAAAGAAGAAAAUGUAACAUACAGAGAAGCCCAGAUCUCUCUUCCUCCAAAGAACUCCUUUUAGACGGAAUUGUCGUUUUCAAGUAUUGUAUCUAAUUUUUUUUUCUUUUUCUGAGUAAAAGCAAGAAAUUUUUUUCUUUUGGACAAAAUGUAUAGCUUUUAAAGGAACCACUUUUAGGUGGGGCUUUUGUUUUUAUCUGAUAAAAUUAUUUUUGACAGAUGAAAUCAAUUAUAUAUUAUGGGCUUGAGGUAGUCAUACGCAUCUUAAUUUCAGCACUGUGGAAAGCUGAGGCAGGAGGAUUGAAAGUUUGAGUCCAGCCUGGGCAACUUAAUGACAGGGAGAACUUGUGUCCAGAAAAAUAAAGGGUUUUGAGCUACAUAGUAGCUCAGUGUGAAGGCCUUGGUCCUUUGUUAAGUACCAGUGAUGCCCCACCAAAAGAAAAUUACUUAUCCUGGUAGUUUGUAAUUGUAAUAUAUAAUUUUUAUUGUUAUGCAAAACAAAGGUCUCCUUUCUCAAUGUAACUUAAAAUAAUGCGAAAUCUUGAAACUCUUGCGUGUGACGCUGGGGUUGGAGCUCGGGCCUUUUGUGUGUCAGGGCAAGUUCUACUCCUGAGCCACUCACUCAGUCCUACAACCGCUUUAUUCUGCUUCCACACAGUGGCCUAUAAGACAAUUUAAGGGCAGGAAAACAGAUAGUUCCUAUUAUUUUUUCACCCUUUCAUCAAAAAAAAUUGAUAACCAAUCUACAGUAGUCUUGAAUUUAGGCUGUGACUGUAAUUUUGUCAUCUGUUAACUAUAAGCAUUGUUCUCAGAUUACUAGAUGUUUUGAAAAGACACAUAAAUGCCAGAGGUCUUCAUUUGAAUUAGCUGGGGAGAUACUGGGUACCUAGUUCCUGAGGAGAGUGGCUUCUGAUUAGACAGUGAGGUAUCAGCACUGGGCCCUGGGAUGGUCAUGAACAAGAAAGUCAUCCAGGACAUGCAUCCUCUUCCAGGUCAAACACUUCAGCCUGUCCCUUCAACUGUUUUCGGACUUCUAAACAAAAACAAUAACAAGUGGUUGUUUCUCUAAGUUUAAUUUUUUAUUUUGAGGUUAAUUAUAGAGUGGCAUACAGUUGUAAGGAACACAGGAUUCCCAUGUCCCCAGAUAUAGUUCAGUAUCACACCCUGGAUGGAGAAUAGGACAACAGGAAGAUACAGAACACUGCUUUCAUCUACAGGACUCACCCAGGAAGUGCAAGUGCAUAGGGUGUUUCACAUUCACAUUCACUUCUUUAAGAAGAAACCAGACUUCCAUCUGUAUGAUUCCAGUAAUAUCUAUGUGAUACACUUUCAGUAUUCUUUCCAGUAUGUGUUGCUCUUUUAGUCCUGUUCUUUGGAGAGGUUUUCAAGAAGGCCGUGGGUGCACUUUUGUGUGUGUGUGUGUGUGUGUGUGUGUGUGUGUGUGUGUUGUUUGUUUGAGGCAGAUCUCACUAUGUAAUUCAGACUGGCCUUGAAUGGGAGGUGAGGGAGUGAGGGGGAGAGUUCCCGGCAAAUGACGCAGGACUUUGGAGCAAGGAAUCAGGCAGCAUAAACAGGGCAAAGAGAAGGAGCUCAGUUUGGGGAGGUCCAUGUGCAGGCCUUCCAAGCCCCAGCAUCAGAUAAGGGAGCCAUCAAAGGCUUUUGAGCACAGGGAAGAACUGGAUUUAAAACAGGAGGGCUUUGGCCACGGUGCUGAGAACACACUGAGGGGCUACAGCAUGGACGAACCGUGUGACCCUGCCCUCUGCUGAUUCCAUGUGUCAAAAGGAAACAACCUCGGUCCUUCCUGCACAGAGUUGGUGUGAAGAUUACAUGAGUUACUCGGUGUAAAGCACUGCAGUCUGGCAUACGGUAACUUGGCACAUGGGUUUGUAACUUGGGACCCCACUGUAUGAGACCAAGAAGCAUGUGGCAGGUAGGGUAGCCUGACAAUAGUCCCUGCAAGUCCUGCUGUGAGCACCGCACAGGACCGGGCUGGGGUGCCACUCACCCGCGAGGCACCGUUUCACAAACCUGGCAUCUUGCAUCUCCAUCGACGCAGCCUUCAGAAUCCGGCCGCAGACGUCUGCACUGCACCUCCAACCCUACCCAGGGUCUCUGACUUCGUGCAACACCAGAGUCCUACUCUGGGUUUCCGGUUUUCGGCCUCGGUCCUUAACUUUUAGCCUCAGUUCCCGCCCCAGGCUCCAUUCGGCCCCGGGGACACAGAGCUUGCACCUGAGGGCUCCCGGUCCCGCCUCCGUCGCCCUGCCCACA